rnacentral:rRNA from 1 species
CCUACGGGAGGCAGCAGUGAGGAAUAUUGGUCAAUGGCCGGAAGGCUGAACCAGCCAUGCCGCGUGAAGGUCAGUGCCCUAUGGGCGUUAAACUUCUUUUGUGCGGGAGCAAUAAUGGUCACGUGUGGCCAGACGAGAGUACCGUACGAAUAAGCAUCGGCUAACUCCGUGCCAGCAGCCGCGGUAAUACGGGGGAUGCAAGCGUUAUCCGGAUUUAUUGGGUUUAAAGGGUGCGUAGGCUGUGAGGUAAGUCAGCGGUGAAAUGCCCCCGCUCAACGGGGUGAAGUGCCAUUGAUACUGCCUGGCUGGAAUGCGGAUGACGUGGGAGGAAUGUGUGGUGUAGCGGUGAAAUGCAUAGAUAUCACACAGAACACCGAUUGCGAAGGCAUCUCACGAAUCCGCGAUUGACGCUGAUGCACGAAAGCGUGGGUAUCAAACAGGAUUAGAUACCCCAGUAGUC